rnacentral:rRNA from 1 species
AGCGAACGCUGGCGGCGUGCCUAACACAUGCAAGUCGAACGUGAAUGGGAGCAAUCCCUAGUAAAGUGGCGUACGGGUGAGUAACACGUAGGUAAUCUACCUGUGAGUCUGGAAUAACCUGCCGAAAGGCGGGCUAAUACUGGAUAGAGCGAAGAACUCGUAAAGGGUUUUUCGGGAAAGGGAGCCCGCAAGGGCCUUUGCUUACAGAUGAGCCUGCGUCCCAUCAGCUAGCUGGUAGGGUAACGGCCUACCAAGGCUAUGACGGGUAGCUGGUCUGAGAGGAUGAUCAGCCACACUGGAACUGAAACACGGUCCAGACUCCUACGGGAGGCAGCAGUGGGGAAUCUUGCGCAAUGGACGAAAGUCUGACGCAGCCACGCCGCGUGAGUGAAGAAGGCCUUCGGGUUGUAAAGCUCUGUCGCCCGGGACGAACAUCUUUGGUGUUAACAGCAUCAAGGACUGACGGUACCGGGAGAGGAAGCACCGGCUAACUCUGUGCCAGCCGCCGCCGUAA